ensembl:lncRNA
UUUUUAAAUAAAUUAAAUUAUAUAUUUUCAUUAAUUUUUUAUUCAAACGUUCUAAUGUUUUACCUGAACUACAAGUAACGCACAUGACCCUUGUGUCACAACAUAAUGACACAUUGUUGCAUUACAAAUUUAGACAAAGAGAAGAGAGAAACUGUGCCGCGCGCUCCUCAAACGAUCGGAUUGGACCGUGAUUCCAUUUUGGAGUUUCCCCCCUCCUGCGCUUUCUGAUCACCACCCUUAACCACGGCACUUCCUCCCCGUGCUCAAAAGAACGAUGCGAAAAGAAAGAGGGGAAAGUGCUCAUGUGACUCCCCGUGCCGUGAAACCGGGGCCCCUCGGGGCCACGUUCGGUAGAGAUGACACGAUUUACCGGGACAAAAGUCAUCCUAAAUCGGCGCUUUAGUUUUUGUGAAAACGCCAGGGAUUUGUCUGCCUGAUCCAAACAUACAGCAUUAGGGAGGAGGGGGGAUCAAACGCACACGCACGCGCUCUCAGGAUGGAGAGUUUGACCUCGUGCCACAAUUUCAUCCCAAACACAGCUUCUUCUUCUUCUUCUUCUUCUUCUUCUUUCUGCACCAAAGCGACGCGGGCGGAUCGGUAAGCGGGAGAGAAACGAUGCACGCGCCUGUUUUUAUGAAGAUCAUUAUUGGUAUUAUUAUUUACUGACUGUUGUUGUUGUUGUUGUUGCGAGCUCACAAGUUGCGCGGCACUCACCCUCCGUGCAGACCAGGAGCGUCCAGGCUAUCCAGAGGUCCGAGUUAUGGAACUUCACCAUGGCUCCUUCAACCGGUCCUCCGCUUCGGCCCGACGGAACCACGAUCUCAGCUCGGCUCACGGUUCCCCGGGCGACAAGUAACAGGUCCUCCCGGUGCCGGGAGACAUGGGCGCAGCCCGCCGCGGGGUCUCUUUACGCGCCGCGCGCCGGCGACGCUUCCCGAAAGACGGGGUGAAACGUUCCGAGUGAGGGGUGGAGGUAUGUGUCCAUCCAACGGGCGCGCUCCGCCCUUGUCUCUCAUGGACCCGUCCGCGCAAUUUGUCCACGCGUUUGAGGCGGAGGGGGUGGGGGUGAUGGGUGGGAGGGGGGUGAUGGGUGGAGAGGGGAAGGGGUGGGGGAGGGUGGGGGUGAGGGGACGCAACAGUCCACCUGCUGGCGCGCUAUAAAUACGCCCGACAGUCCCCGAAAGUGACUUGCAAAGUGCUCAGAAACUGUCCCUCGUCCCGUCGGCUCGGUGCGUCUCUCCCACGCGUCUCGCGGCGCUCCAUGGUGCCUCGUCUGCUCUGCCGCGGCGAGCAAAGCUCGCGGGGUUGGACGCGAGGCAACUUCCUGUUGAUUUUUGGGGGGGGGGGGCAUUUUUUCCCUUCAAAAUAAAAAAACCCUCGAGGCUGUCCCCGUCACAAGGUGGUAGGAGGAAAGGUUAAAGGUUACUGUUUAUUCUUAUUGAGGCGCGUCGGUGUCCGUCAGUCAGAGUUGAACCUCCGCGCCUUUCGAAAAGUCAUUUCUCCACAACAAAAACAGGAAAAAUCCAAGUGAACGUGUAACAUUUGUGAAAUCCUUAUUGUGAAAUGUCACUACAAGUUAUUAAAAAUCGAUCUCAAUCACUUUCAACAAUAACUGCAACAUUUCUCUUGCAUUCAUCGAUGAAAUAAAUCCGCUCCACUCCAGUGAAACCGGAGGGAUCGAUUAUACUCAGCCAGGGAUCAGCCAGAGGUACAGUAAACACACCUGCAACUAAACGUGCUUUUAUUUUGUAGUUAAACCCACCUGGGUUCCUGUUGUAGGUGGUGCGCCUGUGCGGCAUGACCGCGCUCACCAGCGGAUGAUUAAGACGGACCUGACUGUUGCUAGGAGACCGCUGACGCCAGACGUGCACGAGAGAAAGAGAGAGAGAGAGAGAGAGAGCACAAGGGGGGAGGAGGGGGGGGGGAGACAUUCAUGCCCCCCUGCGGUGCGACUCCACAACGACCGACGGAUUCGAAUUAUUUAUAGGGACGUGGUUUACGCAGAUACGUGGAUACAUUUGAACAUUGGGCUGCAAUAGUGAAUCAAUGGAAUAAUAGAAUUAGACACAAGGCUGCAGAGUGCUGCUCUGCGCAGAAUUGCAAAAAAAAAAGUAUUUUCUGCCUUCAUACUGGACUUUGAUGAUCAGUCCUUUGCAUAAUCUGCAGUGUGCACAUCAGGGCGGUAACGCUUUGUAACUGUGCCCCUUUUAUCUCAAUGAAUGAAGUCAUUGCAUGUGAUUGUGUAGCAUGUACUACACAUUUUUGCCGCAUAGGUGAUAGUUGAGAAAACCAUCUAGAGAUCAAAAGGUACAGAUUUAUCUUCCUCCAACCUGUUUUUUCAGACAAAGCGAAAUGAAAAGACGCGAUUGGGGCCGUGCCCCAAAUCCCUGCCUUCAUCGUUUGGCCCUGCAGAUGUUAACAGAUGUUAAUAAUUGUUUGGCCUUAAAUUGAGCUGAAGUUGGAUGAUCUUAAGGCUGCUUGCUUUUGUUGGAUUUUAUAGAAUAUGUUGCCUUUGUUUCUCGUUAUUUUUGGUUGAACAAAACGCUGGCUUUCCAAAUGUCUGUUUCAUUUGGCUUUUACGUUCCACCUUCUCAUUAAAGCUGUAAUAAAAAAAUAUUUGUAUUUUAUACAUGCUGCUUUUUUAGAUAUUCUCCCGAUUAAUCGUUUUGUUUAUAAAACAAACAUUCUCAAAAAGCCCAUCAAAACAUUCAGCACCAAAAGCAACAGCUUUAUUUGACAUGUUGUCCAAAACCCAAAUAAAUCAAUUUCCUGUCCCACCCGCCUGGCAGCUGCGCUGAGGGCCGGAGAGGGCUGCUGAUGGUGCUGCUGAUGGUGCCAUGUGGGCGGGCACAGUGGCGUCCGUCUCCAUGGCAGACUUCGGCCUUUGGAGGGAAAUGUGCUCACCCUCUCGGAUGGAGGACGUCUGUCUGGGACUUUGGUGUCUUCAGCGUUUAACUUAGUGUUCUAAGUCGAGUUAACGUGUAGUUAGUGCAGAAAGUGUUUACUUCCGACUUUAUUUUGGUAAUGAAUACUAAUUGUUUAUGGAUUUCCCUUCCUUUUUCUCUCUCUCUCUGCGUCUUCAACGUCACGCCACCUUCAACAGCGUGACGCUUUUUAAUGUGGGAUGAUAUCGGCUGUUUCCUUUUGCCUGAAGCUGAAUGAACGAUGGCCUUUGUGUUUGUACGAAGAGUGAAAAAUGUGUCCUUCCGAAAAUAGACACUUUGAAUCUCAUAAAUGAUCGGUCGGGAUGCGACCUGUUCUUUCUCGUCGGACCUUUUCGUCUUUGCCAGACGUUCCCUGUGUUGCUUUAUUAAUUAACCGGAUUCUGCCAGUUGAAGAUUUAACCUGGCCAAUGGAACCGAUCUUGAUGAGCCUCCUCCUUCUUCACCUCCUCUUCACUCGCAGCCGCACGCAUGCAAAAGAAACAGAUGGUAAACAGGUUUGAAUCACAGAUUCAAAGGGAAUCAACCGGCACCGUGGCCGAUUCUGAGCAGCAGGAACUAUAUAGUCGUUUUUUUGAAGAAGGAAAGCCUGAAGUGUGUAUAUUGUUUGAGUGGAGUUUCUUAUAUUGAGGAUAUAUUAUAUUGGUAUAUAUUUUCCCGUUCAUAUUGACGUCAUGUUUGCAGCAGCUGAUUAGGCCCCAGUGCACAGUUUUCCGAAAAGAACUUAAGAUCUCCUGUCAUUCGCGUUAGGAAAUCGAAAUCGACGUGUCUGCAGCUCGAUUGCGGCUUAGAAAUGUACGUCACCGAAGGAACGCCGCUGCAGACAUUAAGUUUGAUUACUUUUUAGUUCAACUAAAAGUAACCGAGAAAGUGGCGGCCAUUUUGCUUGGCUUCCUGGGGGGGUUUCCCUUUUGUUUUGGGCCAAACAAACGCACACAAACACACUUCAGUUUGGUGGGGAUGUUUUUAUGGAGCUUCUGGUCACAUGGAGCUGCAAUGUAAUGUUCAUUGCAUUUGCUGUUGCUGCUUUUUUUCUUUUUGGUCACAAUUCAUCGGGCCUUUUUUUUUUUCACGGCUCGUGAGAAUUAUGAUUUAUUGCUUUGUUUUUUUGCUUUCGGUCAUCCGUUGUUUUUAACAAACUUUCUAAAGACAAAACUGACAAGUUAACGGUAUUUUUAGUCCCACGUUUACUCACCUUAUUACAAGGAGACACUGUAACUUGCAGUUUUUAAUAAUAAAACUACUGUACUUGAGUAUUCCCACCUUACACAGCGUUGGACUUUACUGCAUUACGUUUACGACGGGAAAACUGUUUUACUCCGACACUUACGUGAGUUUUAUAUUGACACCAUAACAGUUCAAAUGUAUUAUGAAACAUCGCUCGUACUCUUCAAUCAUCCAUCGUCAAACGGCCCAUCCUGCACACUGGGGGACGGGAGUCGAUCCCAGCCAGCUUCCAGAUCUUCAAUUAUAAAUCUUAAAAAUGAAUAAAACACUG